rnacentral:rRNA from 1 species
CCUACGGGCGGCUGCAGUGAGGAAUAUUGGUCAAUGGGCGCAAGCCUGAACCAGCCAAGUAGCGUGCAGGAUGACUGCCCUACGGGUUGUAAACUUCUUUUGUACAAGAGUAAAGUGAGGCACGUGUGCCUUUUUGUAUGUACUUUAUGAAUAAGGAUCGGCUAACUCCGUGCCAGCAGCCGCGGUAAUACGGAGGAUCCAAGCGUUAUCCGGAUUUAUUGGGUUUAAAGGGAGCGUAGAUGGGUUGUUAAGUCAGUUGUGAAAGUUUGGGGCUCAACCGUAAAAUUGCCAUUGAUACUGGCAGCCUUGAGUACAGAUGAGGUAGGCGGAAUGCGUGGUGUAGCGGUGAAAUGCUUAGAGAUCACGAAGAACUCCGAUUGCGAAGGCAGCUUACUAAUCUGCCACUGACAUUGAUGCUCGAAAGUGUGGGUAGCAAACAGGAUUAGAUACCCCGGUAGUC